AUGCCAGAAGCUAGGGAUGUGACAAUAGAUAUCAAGCUUGAUUGUUCAAACUACAGGGAAUGGGCAUUUUCUGCCCGGACUAUCUUGAGGACGGAUGGUUUUGUUUCUCAUCUGACAGAUGAUCCACCUAGUCCAAAUGAUGAUGCAGCAAGGAAGUCUUGGCAAAAGAUCGAUGAUCGUGUGAUGGGAGUUUUAAUUCUGGGUGUUGAACCCUCACUCCGAAUGAGUCUUGGGCAUCACACUUCAGCUAAAGAGAUAUGGAAGUACUUUGAGCAGCGCUACCUUCAGCCCAACAGUGCACUUCAUUUCUCCUUGUUGCAGAAUUUACACAACACUCGGCAGCCAGAAGACAUGUCCAUAGAAGAGUACUAUGGAGAUUUCACUCGCAUCACUGGACAGCUAGGUUCCAUGGUUCCAAAGGGUAAUUCUGGUUGUGAGUCAUGUGCAGCGAAGGAAAAGUACGACCAUCAGACUCUCAUGUUUCAGUUUGUGAUGGGUCUCAAGCCAGAUUUUGAGAACAUUCGCACUCAAUUGCUUGGUCGUACGACUCCUCCCACCUUGACAGAGGCACUUGCUAGCUUGAUCGUUGAGAAGACUCGUCUCCGUUCUCUUGGGACUACUUCUGCGCAGACUCUACACACUAGUGUUCUGGCUUUUCCUCAGCGGCCAGGUGCCUCCAAGGCCACACCUUCAGCUGUCAUCUGCUCAUUCUGCAAGAAGGCAGGACACCAUAGAGAUGGUUGUUUCAAGCUUCAUCCAGAGUUGUUAGCUAAGUUUCAGGCUAGACGGGCCCUCAAUCAGUAG
rnacentral:rRNA from 1 species